AAAGGAGGAUUGGAGAGUACAAUUUACUAAUGAUCAGAUCAAUGAGUGCUAAGUUUUGACUCCGAAGCACGAACUGGAUGAAAUAAAAAUUGCUUAGGCAUCAGAUAUUAGGCUUCUCUUAAGUGCAACUUAGUAAGAAACAUAAAAAAUGACACGUAGUGAAGCGAUGUCCGGGUCCGGCCAGGCUCUAACCCUCGCAGGGGGUCUGACUCUGGAGGGGGAGGCACGACCUUCGCCCCCGUCCCGGGGAGGUCCCGGGGUGCAGGUGCGGGGACGGCGGCUGUGACCGCGAGCAGCCUGGGCUCACGAGCACUGCUGGGGGGAAGGCACGGGCCACGCCGCGCCGCCUCUGCCCGCCGGCGGCUCCGCGAGGCCAACUUCUGCUCGGGCCGGGCCCAGCUGCCCCUGCGCGGGCGCCGACGGCCGCGCUCGCCUUCUGGACGCCGACGGAAGAGCGACUGUCCGCCCGCGGGCGCCGACGGCCAGGCUCGGCGCCGCUCAAAGAAAAGGCAGCCAGCGGUAGAAAGAGAGAGACAAAGGGCCAGAAACCGUCCGGGAGCGUUCACACUCCUAAAACGUCGAGUCCUCCGGAGACCUGAAGUCGCUCCCUCAGCUGCACACACCGGACGCGGCGUGGACAAGCGGGCGCGGGGCUGACACGUUCCCUCAGCGCUCUCGCCACAGGACAGGUUUAUCAGAAACUCUGUUCCUUGAGUCCUGGAUGCAAAUCAACCUUCUCCAUUUAACGUGACAGACUUGAACGGGUAGAUGGCGUUGCCACUCCAUAAAAUGGCAGAAUAUCAGCUUUCCUGCUGUCAAAAAAAUUCUGGAGUUGAGGUCUCACAAUGUUGCCCAGGCUGGCUUC